GGGGGGGGGGGGGGGGGGGGGGGGGGGAGGGGAGGCGGGGGAAGAGACGAGGAGCUUGCUCCUCUGACGUUAGCGGCGGACGGGGGAGUAACACGUGGAUAACCUACCUAUAAGACUGGGAUAACUUCGGGAAACCGGAGCUAAUACCGGAUAAUAUAUUGAACCGCAUGGUUCAAUAGUGAAAGACGGUUUUGCUGUCACUUAUAGAUGGAUCCGCGCCGCAUUAGCUAGUUGGUAAGGUAACGGCUUACCAAGGCGACGAUGCGUAGCCGACCUGAGAGGGUGAUCGGCCACACUGGAACUGAGACACGGUCCAGACUCCUACGGGAGGCAGCAGUAGGGAAUCUUCCGCAAUGGGCGAAAGCCUGACGGAGCAACGCCGCGUGAGUGAUGAAGGUCUUCGGAUCGUAAAACUCUGUUAUUAGGGAAGAACAAAUGUGUAAGUAACUAUGCACGUCUUGACGGUACCUAAUCAGAAAGCCACGGCUAACUACGUG
rnacentral:rRNA from 1 species